rnacentral:rRNA from 1 species
UGGGGAAUAUUGCGCAAUGGGCGAAAGCCUGACGCAGCGACGCCGCGUGAGGGAUGAAGGGUUUCGGAUCGUAAACCUCUGUCAGAAGGGAAGAAACCGCACUGUGCUAAUCAGCAGUGCCUUGACGGUACCUUCAAAGGAAGCACCGGCUAACUCCGUGCCAGCAGCCGCGGUAAUACGGAGGGUGCAAGCGUUAAUCGGAAUUACUGGGCGUAAAGCGCACGUAGGCUGCUUUGUAAGUCAGGGGUGAAAUCCCACGGCUCAACCGUGGAACUGCCUUUGAUACUGCUUAGCUUGAAUCCGGGAGAGGGUGGCGGAAUUCCAGGUGUAGGAGUGAAAUCCGUAGAUAUCUGGAGGAACAUCAGUGGCGAAGGCGGCCACCUGGACCGGUAUUGACGCUGAGGUGCGAAAGCGUGGGGAGCAAACAGG